AUGUUUGAUGUCCUGAACCAUGUGGAAGUGACGCGGACGACGGUGACACUAUGGGCUAUUUGGUAUGCUCGACGAAAGUUGAUACAUGAGGGAAUUAACCAAAGUCCCUUGUCAACUCAUCUUUUUGUCACUCGUUUCAUAGCAGAGCUAGAUCAACUACAACAAAAGAAGGAUCAACAUGUGAUAUCGAAACCAUGGGCUGUGUCACCCAGAGUUUGGCGACCACCACCAGAGGGAACUGUCAAAAUAAAUGUGGAUGCAGGUGUAUCAGAGAACCAUGGAACGGGCACUGCAGCAGCUAUAUGUAGGGACCGGGAUGGCAAUUUUCUUGGCUCGUCGAUCUUGGUUAUCAAGGGCCUGCUUGAACCUGCAGUGCUAGAAGCUGUGGCCUAUAGAGAAGCUCAAGCUUUGGCACAAGACUUGAACCUACAACAUUUAUUUAUAACCUCUGAUUGUGAGCAAGCAGUGAAGCAUAUUCAGCAGAAGUCCGGGGGAGAAGAAGGUGGGAUUAUUAAAGAGAUUCAUGAGACCACAACAUCUUUUAUUUCUUGUACUUUCAACUACGAGUCUAGGGUUUCAAAUUUUGAAGCCCAUAAGCUAGCUAGGUAUGGUGUCUCUCUGCCUAUAGGGAGACAUAUUUGGUUAGGUAUUCCACAUGAUACUCUUGUAACACCUACCUACAUUUUAGAUGAUCAAUAA
rnacentral:rRNA from 1 species